CAGAUAAAGAGUUUCUGCACAAGACGAGAGAUGGAAACAUCUUUCUCCACAACGCUGAAACGCAAGAGGAAUCACUUUAUUUGAGCAACUCCACUUUUGCUCAGGUGGAUGCCUCAGAUUACUUGCUGUCUGGUGAUUAUAAAUACAUUGCUUUCGAAAGCAACUACACAGAGAACUGGAGACAUUCGUUCACAGCGUCAUAUUCCAUCUACGACAGAGAAACUUCGACGUUUGUCACAGGAGUGAAUCUUCCUACUGUUGUGCAGUACUUUUCCUGGGCUCCAAAAGGAAACAAAUUUGUGAGUAAAUGCCAUAACCACACUGAGAGAGUCAGGUAAUCUACCUGCAUCGUGGAUUUUACUGUAUUCCUCAGUAUGACCAUGAAUGUUCCCUGAGGUAUUCCUCCUAUAUAUAUUGUAACAAAUUUGU